rnacentral:rRNA from 1 species
UGAGCAAUCUGCCCUUCUCUUUGGAAUAAGCGUUGGAAACGACGUCUAAUGCCGAAUACGACCUCCUUUCGCAUGAUCGGAGGUGGAAAGCUCCGGCGGAGAAGGAUGAGCUCGCGGCCUAUCAGCUAGUUGGUGUGGGUAAUGGCCCACCAAGGCGACGACGGGUAGCUGGUCUGAGAGGACGACCAGCCACACUGGAACUGAGAUACGGUCCAGACUCCGUAGGAGG